AGCUGCUCUGAGUGCAGUGGUAUUUACUACUAAUUGAUCACAACCAGUUGUAGAUUUCUUUGUUCCUUUUCCACUUGCAUUGCUUCACUUGACUAGCCUUAA
rnacentral:Y_RNA from 1 species